CAGAGCUCAAUCAUCUGCGAUCAGAUCAUUUCAAAUGCUGUUAUGAUGCCGUCAGAGUAUGUAGAUUGCGAUCAGAUGGUGCACAAACUGCACAUCGACUGCCAUCAGAUGUGCCAUCUAUCUCGUGUUU